rnacentral:rRNA from 1 species
UACGUAGGGUGCGAGCGUUGUCCGGAAUUAUUGGGCGUAAAGAGCUCGUAGGCGGCUUGUCGCGUCGGAUGUGAAAGCCCGGGGCUUAACUCCGGGUCUGCAUUCGAUACGGGCAGGCUAGAGUGUGGUAGGGGAGAUCGGAAUUCCUGGUGUAGCGGUGAAAUGCGCAGAUAUCGGGAAGAACACCCGUGGCGAAGGCGGCUCUCUGGGACGGUACUGACGCUGAGACGCGAAAGCGUGGGGAGCGAACAGG